CCCGAAGGAAUGGAUUUCUCAUGAAACUAUGAGCGUCCUCUGCUGAGCAGUUUCGGGCCGCGAACGCAAGCUUUUCUCCAGACACAGAAUGCCUUCUUUUAGGUCCAAUCCACCUCGCCCGAAGUGGUGGGUGAGGCAAGCCCUGAAUAUUUCUCAACGGUUCAGUGCUCGCUCCGAUCACCAUUGGAUGAACCAUUCAUUGGAUGGAGGAUGGCCCAGCACGGUUGUAGUUCAUAGCUAUUCUAUAUUACGC
rnacentral:lncRNA from 1 species